ACUUGAGAGUUUGAUCCUGGCUCAGAGCGAACGCUGGCGGCAGGCUUAACACAUGCAAGUCGAACGGGCGUAGCAAUACGUCAGUGGCAGACGGGUGAGUAACGCGUGGGAACGUACCUUUUGGUUCGGAACAACCCAGGGAAACUUGGGCUAAUACCGGAUAAGCCCUUACGGGGAAAGAUUUAUCGCCGAAAGAUCGGCCCGCGUCUGAUUAGCUAGUUGGUGAGGUAAUGGCUCACCAAGGCGACGAUCAGYAGCUGGUCUGAGAGGAUGAUCAGCCACAUUGGGACUGAGACACGGCCNNAACUCCUACGGGAGGCAGCAGUGGGGAAUAUUGGACAAUGGGCGCAAGCCUNAUCCAGCCAUGCCGCGUGAGUGAUGAAGGCCNNAGGGUUGUAAAGCUNUUUUGUGCGGGAAGAUAAUGACGGUACCGCAAGAAUAAGCCCCGGCU
rnacentral:rRNA from 1 species